rnacentral:rRNA from 1 species
UACGGAGGGUGCAAGCGUUAUCCGGAUUCACUGGGUUUAAAGGGUGCGUAGGCGGAUUGGUAAGUCCGUGGUGAAAUCCCCGAGCUUAACUUGGGAACUGCCGUGGAUACUAUCAGUCUUGAAUAUCGUGGAGGUAAGCGGAAUAUGUCAUGUAGCGGUGAAAUGCUUAGAUAUGACAUAGAACACCAAUUGCGAAGGCAGCUGGCUACACAAAUAUUGACACUCAGGCACGAAAGCGUGGGGAUCAAACAGG